AUUGAACGCUAGCGGGAUGCUUUACACAUGCAAGUCGAACGCGUGGCGGCAGGGGGAGCAAUAUAUCGGGACGUGCCCAGUAGCGGGGGAUACAUACUCGUAAGAGUGGCUAAUACCGCAUACUAUGGGAGCGGCCGAUAUCGGUUUAGUUAGUGGGUGGGGUAACGGCUCACCAAGGCCACGAUCCGUAGCUGGUUUGAGAGGACGACCAGCCACACUGGGGCUUAGACACGGCCCAGACUCCUACGGGAGGCAGCAGUGGGGAAUUUUUGACAAUGGGGGAAACCCUGAUCCAGCCAUCCCGCGUGUAUGAGAAGGCCUUCGGGUUGUAAAGUACUUUUGGCAGAGAAGCGGUAUCUGCAGAAUAAGCACCGGCUAACUACGUGCCAGCAGCCGCGGUAAUUC
rnacentral:rRNA from 1 species